rnacentral:ncRNA from 1 species
UCCCUAUAGACGGACUGAACGGCACCAGGUAGCUAGAACCUGGUAGGGA